UCAGAAACUCAAAGGAAGUUGACGGGGGCCCGGCACAAGCGGUGGAGCAUGUGGUUUAAUUUCGAUGGUACGCGAGGAACCUUACCAGGGCUUGACAUACGCCGGAAGCGCAUCGAAAGGUGCGUGCCGCUUGCGGCCGGCGUACAGGUGCUGCAUGGCUGUCGUCAGCUCGUGCUGUGAAGUGUUGGGUUAAGUCCCGCAACGAGCGCAACCCCUGCUGCCUGUUGCCACCACGAGAGGUGGGGACUCAGGCGGGACCGCCGGUGACAAACCGGAGGAAGGUGGGGACGACGGUCAAGUCAUCAUGGCCCUUAUGUCCUGGGCUACACACGUGCUACAAUGGCCGGUACAGAGCGCAGCGAAGCCGCGAGGCAAAGCGAAUCGCAAAAAAGCCGGUCUCAGUACGGAUUGGAGUCUGAAACUCGACUCCAUGAAGUUGGAAUCGCUAGUAAUCGCGCAUCAGCAUGGCGCGGUGAAUACGUUCCCGGGCCUU
rnacentral:rRNA from 1 species